ACGAGAAAGUUUCUCGUGGCCACGAGAAACUUUCGUGGCCACGAUUAAGUUUCUCGUUCGCACGAGAAAGUUUCUCGUGGCCACGAGAAAAAAAAAAAAAAAAAAAAAAAAAAAAUUUUUUUUUUUUUUUUUUUUUUUUUUUUUUUUAUAAAAAGUUUCUCGUGG